UACGUAGGGGGCAAGCGUUGUCCGGAUUUAUUGGGCGUAAAGAGCGUGUAGGCGGUUUGGUAGGUCCGCUGUGAAAACUCGAGGCUCAACCUCGAGACGCCGGUGGAAACCAUCAGACUAGAGUCCGGAAGAGGAGGGUGGAAUUCCUGGUGUAGCGGUGAAAUGCGCAGAUAUCAGGAGGAACACCGGUGGCGAAGGCGGGUCUCUGGGCCGAAACUGACGCUGAGGAGCGAAAGCGUGGGGAGCAAACAGG
rnacentral:rRNA from 1 species